GAUGAACGCUGACAGCAUGCUUAACACAUGCAAGUCGGUGGCGGACGGGUGAGUAACGCUAAAGAACUUGCCUCCCAGCUAGGGACAACAUUUGGAAGCGAAUGCUAAUACCUAAUACUGUGAGAGAGCUUUGCGUCCCAUUAGCUAGUUUGAUAGUUAAAGGCUCACCAAGGCGAUGAUGGGUAGCCGGCCUGAGAGGUUGAUCGGCAACAAGGGGAAUGAGACACGGCCCGUACUCCUAAGGGAGGCAGCAGUGGGGAAUAUUGAACAAUUGGCGCAAGCCUGAUGCAGCCAUGCCGCGUGUAUGAAGAAGGCCCUAGGGUUGUAAAGUACUUUCAGUCGGGAGGCGUUACCGACAGAAGAAGCACCGGCUAACUCCGUGCCAGCAGCCGCGGUAAUAC
rnacentral:rRNA from 1 species